AAUACUGGACAAUGGGGGCAACCCUGAUCUAGCCAUGCCGUGUGUGUGAAGAAGGUCUUCGGAUUGUAAACCACUUUAAGUUGGGAGGAAGGGCUUAAGGUUAUUAGCCUGAAGCCUUGACGUUACCAACAGACUAAGCACCGUCUAACUCUGUGCCAGCAGCCGCGGUAAUACAGAGGGUGCAAGAGUUAAGAGGAAUUACUGGGCGUAAAGAGCGCGUAGGUGGUUCAGUAAGAUGGGUGUGAAAUCCCCGGGCUUAACCUGAGAACUGCUUUCAUAACUGCUGAGCUAGAGUACAGUAGGGGGUAGUGGAAUUUCCUGUGUAGCGGUGAAAUGCGUAGAUAUAGGAAGGAACACCAGUGGCGAAGGCGACUACCUGGACUGAUACUGACACUGAGGUGCGAAAGCGUGGGGAGCAAAC
rnacentral:rRNA from 1 species